rnacentral:sRNA from 1 species
ACGCGAUUAAUCGUGGUGUGCUGGUAUGUUUACAAUUGCCUGAGUUCUUAUUAGACCGCUUGCAUGUGUGCAUCUUCCUGUGAACUUUAACACUAAAACAAUCUGAACUCUUUACUUUUGCACAUCGUAAAUACUAUUGACAACCUGUUGUUUUAUAUUGCCGACAUCGUAACAUGAGUCGCUUUGGAUCUGACGCUAUAGUUGCGGUCGCAAAACAAUACUUAUUUGCAGCUCUGUUAACCAAAUCUUGCACGGCCUCCUUAGAAACAAAUUCUUGGUGCAAUUCAAUCCCCGUUCCAUCUUCCCAUUCCGUAACACUCUGACUUUUCUCGCUACUCUGACUUCCUUCACCAACACAUGAAAGCUCAUAAUACUCAAUUCUACCAUCAACACCAUUAUCUUCAGCAACAUCCAUCCGGCUAUCCACAUGCUCCCUAUCUUCAAUAACUACAUUCUCCAUAGCCUCUUCAAAAACCCGGUUAUCCGCAUUCUCAAUAGCCUCUUCUACACUAUUAGCCUCUUCAAUAAUCGGUUCAUCAUUCACACAAUUACCUCCUGCAGUUUCUCCUCUAAAAAUCGUCACUACUCCACCAUUCUCCAUAUCAAAUGCAUUCAACUCCUCAGAAUUAAUACCAACUGAACUUCUUCCCUCUACCCUUGAAUUUUGUUCCACCCUCUCAGAUUCUUUAUUUACUACCUCCACGUUCAAAGUUGGUCUAAUUCCUUUAGCAUUCACUACCGUUAGAUAACCUAAAAAGUCAUCAUCAUCUACAAUAGAUGUAUCUCUCUGAGAUGUGCAUAGAAUAUAACUCAAUUUCACCUUCCUUGAGGUUUCAUCUAUUCCAAUCUUCUUGCAUAUCUUUUCUACUAACAUAGAGUAUGUUACCUUUAACGUUCUCAACAAUACACCGCUUAAAGAAUUGUUUGAAAUCCACUCAUGCUCUUUUGAAUAAUACCCAUUGUCAAAUUGUAUGAAUGUGUGCUUGUUCUUCAUCGUCUCCUGUAAUUACAAAUAAAUUAUAAAAACACAAUUACGUAAUCAUUCAGAUUUAGACAUAAUUGUACCUAUAUUAUAACUCACUAAUACCAUUCACCUGUCCUAAUUAUA